AGAGUCAGUUCCACAAUUCAUAGAACCUGAUUUCCUUGCUUCAGGUUACAAAGAACUGAUUUUCCACUUUCUGUUUCCUUGUAUCUACCUCUUAAUAAAGGUUCUGCUUCAGUUAAGAAAGUCCUUUAAGCAACUGUUACACUUUCUGAAGUCAAACACAUUGACUUAUAAGGGAAUGGAAGUCUAUAGAAUGGUACUUUUGGUUCUCUUGAAGUUUUAGAAGGCCACAUUCUGUAGAAUUGAAUGCAUGACUAUUUGGUGGUUUUGGAGGUAAAUUAACUUAUUCAGAACUUUCUUUCCUAGAUCGGAUUCGUUAACCACUGGGCCACGACGAGAAGUCCAGGGGGGAACUGUUUUUAUGUCAGUUUCUUUUCUAUCUCCUCUUUUGUUUUCUCAGUUACCUGUGAGUACUUACUGGAAGGGUGUGAACAGACUGUAUGGUUAAGAAUCCUGUGGGAAAAAGAGAUAAAAAGAAACAUUUCCUUAUUUCAUAGUCAGCUUUCAACAUUCCCAGAGAGCUGACAAAGUAGAACAGAGGCAGAACCCCUUAACAAUAUGACAUGAAUAGGCAUCUUGAAUUUGGGCAUACUUUAUCCCAUUGUCCCUAUUUAGAAAGACCAAUAUUUAACCUUUCUAAAAACUAUAUUGAUAAUAGCAACUUAAUUUUCACUUAUAGUUUAGAAAGCAUGUUCAAAUUCUUAUUUCAUUAACAUCUUUGAGAAGAAAUAUUAUUCCGAUUUUAGUGAUAAGAAAUUUAUACUCAAAAGUUUCCCCUUUUUAUCCAGCAACCCAGCUCAAACAGGGUCUUUUGAAUAUAAUCUAUUUGCUUUUCCCCCUGGCCCCCAUAUCUGAAUUACAAAGUAAAUUAGAAUUCAGAGUUGUGAAUUGGGUUGGAAAGGCAAGCCUUCAAAUAUGAGCUGAUUUAAAAACUGAACUCUCCACUCAAAUAGAGCUUUAGCAUUGAUUUUUAAAAAUCUUGUAAAAUAAGAAAUUGUUAGCAGUGGUGAUUUCUGGAGAAUGGAUUUCAGAUAGGGUGUUCACUUUUCCUUAUAGUUCCUUCUGUGUCAUGUUACCGUUUUUCUAAUUUCUAAUGUGUUCAUUCCAUUAAGUAUUUAUAUGCAAUAUAUCUUCAGUAAUAAAUAACAAAAUAAGAAUAAAAUACCUUAAGUUUGUGUAUAGUAUUUCCUCUCUUAAAACACUACUACAUCUGCUUUUUUUUUCUUUACUUUGUUAUCCCAUUUAACUGUUUAAAGCAACUGAGUCCCAAGCAAGUAAAGAGUGUUGCACAAGAUCUCACAGCUAGUUUGUGUACAACAUCAAUUUCAUGUCCCUGAUUCUAGACCAGAGCUCUUUUGACAGUAAAAGUAUUUUUUUAUUUCUCUUGUACAUCUCCUCUUAGGCAGUCUUAGCUUAAUUGUCUUGAGGCUGAUAGGACUUUAACAUGACAUAUUACAGCCGUGCUUAACCAUUUACCAUUCUAGGUUAUUAUCACAUAUCCUGAUAACCCAAAAACUCUUCUAAGAAACGUUAUUUUCAACUCCAGAAAAAACUUAUCCAUUUGGAAGGAUCUGGUUCACAAUGCUGCAUUGAAAUAUUACAAUAAAACAUUGUGAUUUAUGACACCAUAUUUUUAUAAAUCUAAAAGUGGGUGACCUAGUUCAGUUGGACUUUGUGGAUUCAAAUACAGCAUAUACAUAUAAAUAUAUAACAUGAAAUUAUUCAACUUUAAUUAAUGUUGGUAGAAUUCAAUGUAGCUUAGAACUAAAAAAGGGCAUGUCUGACUUUUUAUAUCUGUUAGAAAAUGUGAAAUCUUCAGUUUCAGCAAUGAACUUUCACAAUCUAAUUGAAAUGUAAACAGAAAAGAUGUGUAUUUUUUUCCCUACUCCCUUUCAUUUGCAUAAUGAUUAUAGGUUCUGGCAGACACAGAAUGUUUAAGUAUUUAGUGAUAACAUCUUUUAAUUAAAAUACUAUACAGCAUAAUUGCAUAAUACCAGAUAACCUGUUAUUACCCAAAGGAAUGUAGUUGAUGAUAUAAAAAAUAGUUGGUUAAAAAGUGAUCACCUCAGAAAGGGUAGUUUAAUUAUAUUUGCAUUUUGUUGACUCUAGAAAAGAAUAAUUUGCAAGCCCAAAGGCAACAUUACAAAUAUAUCCACAUGUCAAAGCAGCUUUCCCUGUACCAAUUAGUAUCCAAACAAAAUUUUGUUCUUUUCACAUGCAAUUUCUUGGAAAAUAAUGUCUUAUUAGAUAUGAAAUAGUUGUGAUUGCUUUAAAACAUAGUGUCCUGUUAGAAAGUACAAGACACAUUGCUUAGAAUUAACUGAGCAUCUAGGUAGUAAGGAUGAUCAAAGAAGAGUCUUCCUGUUUGGCACUAUGGUCUGGUGGAAAGACAGUGGCCUGGAACCCUGAUUCUGCCAAUUCUUGCUGUGUGACCUGGGAUAAUUUAUUUAACCUCACUGAGCCUCAGUUUUCUCAUUCACAAAAUAAGUGUAAUAAUACCUCUAGCAUAGUUCCAGUGAAGAUUAACAAUUAAGUAAAUUUCAUAGUGCAAUAUGUAGCAGAUACUCAAUAAAGGCAGUUUGAUUAUUAUGCUGCUUUUUAAAGAAUCAAAUGCCAUAAAACAUGAUGCAAAACCACAACGAUCCUUUGGAUCAUAGAUUAACAAAAUGGGAGAAAGUGCUUAAUUUAUAAGUGCAAUUGAGAAUACUUUCUAAAAGUAGAACCUUUGAGGGUAUGAAUUCUACUUCUUUCCCUAAUUAGUUAUGUGGUCGUCUGUGAUUUACUUGAUUUAUGUGACUCUGUUUCUGUAUCUAAAAAUUGGGGUAUAACAGUACCUAUUUCAUUGAGAGUAAAAUGAUGUGAUAUGAUGAGUGUACCUACCACAGUGUUUGACACCAAAAGUUUCCAAUGAGUGUCAGUUACUUUCAAAUUUUGAAUGGACUGUAAUGUCCAAAUGCAAGUGAAGGUUCAGGGCAUUGUAAACUGUAGUGUCAUGCAAAUGAUACUUAGUAUUACCAUAAUCUUAAAAAUCACUGAAAUUCUCAUAAAUGUUUUUGCUUACAAGAAUAAGUAAGGGAGAAAAAAGCAUAACUACCUAUUCUGUACUAAUUUUCAUUAUUUAAGAAAACAUUAAAGCAACAGUAAGACAAGAUGUACAGUUCAAGUAAGCAAAAAAAGCUUUCUUUUUGAUUUUGCACUUUGGGGAUUUUUCUUGAUCUUACUCUU
rnacentral:lncRNA from 1 species